rnacentral:lncRNA from 1 species
UAGAGACAGUUGUGAGCUGCCAUGUGGGUACCACGAAUUGAUCCCUGGUCCUGAAGAGCAGCCAGAGCCAUUUCUCUAGCCUAAAGUGUGUUUCUUGUAUGAAACAGAAAGAUAGAUCCUCUUUUCACAUCCAUUCUGUUAGCCCUUUGCCUUUGGGGGGUUGGGGAUUGAGUCUAUUGAUAGUAAAGACCAAUGAUUGUUAAUUCCUAUUGUUUGUUGUUUGGUGAUGAUGGUGUGGGUGGGAAUGGCAUGGACACACAAAUGUGGUUCCCUUCUUGUGCAAGUGUGAAAUUAUUUCCUGUGUUUUCUUGGGUGUAGUUAACCUACUUGGGUUGGAGUUUUCCUUGUAGUACCUUCUAAGGGUAAAUUUGUGGAUAGAUUUUGUUUAAAUUUGAGUUUGUCAUGGAAUAUCUUGUUUGUUCCAUCUAUGGUGAUUGAAAGUUUUUCUGGGUAUUGUACUCUGGGUCUGUAGUCUCUGGCAUCUGGACAGUCUACAGCACAUCUGUGCAGGCCCUUGUAGCUUUGAGAAGUCAGGUGUAAUUCUGAUAGAUCUGCCUUUGUGUUACUUGACAUUUUCCCUUGCAGCUUUUAAUAUUCUUUCUUUGUUCUGUAUGUUUAGUGUUUCCACUCCUAUUAUUCUUAGGUUUAGUGUUUUCAUCAUGUCUCAGGUUUCCUGGAUAUUUUGGUUCAAGAGUUUUUGAGAAUUAACAUUUUCUUUAGACUGAUGUUAACAAGUCUCUCAAGUUCUUUUCUCCUAUCUUGCACGCCUAAGAUUCUCCCUUCCAUAUCUUGUAUUCUGUUUGUGAUGCUUGCAUCUGAAGUUCCUGUUGGCUUACCUAGAUUUUACAUCUCCCAAGAUUCCCUUGGUUUGUGUUUUCUUUAUUGGUUCUAUUUCCAUUUUCAGGUCUUGAACAGUUUUAUUCAUUUUUGUAUCCUGUUUAUUAUUUUUCUAGAAUUUCUUUAAGGGAUAUAUUCAUUUCCUCUUUAAGGGCUUGUAUCAACUUCAUAAGAUUGGAUUUAAGGUCAUUUAAAUAUCCAAGGCUUGUUACAGUAGGAUAGCUGGUGGUGCCAUGUUGUCCUGGCAGUUGUUACAUUCUUAUACUGGCCUCCAGUCAUUUGGAUUUGAGGUUAUUAUAAUUUAGCUGCCUAUUUCUGUGUUUAUCUUUGAUGAAUGGAUGUUUUUUUUUCCUUGGUUUCUCUCAGGUCUUCUGGCAUGAGCAGCCUGUGGUUCUGAUGAUCAGUGAGUCUUCAGGUUUAAUAGGGUGUCUCCAUUUGGUGUUUUCUUAGCCUGUAUGACCUCUAGGGUUUUGGGUGCCUGUGUUGCCUAUUGGAAUCUGGGAACUGGUAUGACUUCUGGGAUUUUAGAUACUAGUGUGGCCUCUGGAGUUUCUAGUACCAUCUUGGCCUCCUGAAGAGCAGGGAUCUUCUGCAGGAGGUGUGAGCCUGGCGUUCCUAGUAACAUUGUGGCCUUCAAUAGAGCAGGGUCUUCUGCCAGAAUUGUGGACUGAGAUAUAAAGCCCAGGGGAGGGGGUGCUGUUGGGGACUGCUGGACCAGCUUUAAGAAGUAUUAGAAAGUGAUAGAUGGGUGUUUUACCUGGGGUUCCUAGUACUUCUGGUCCCAGCAUAGCCUCUGGUAGAGUAGGAGUCUUCUGCUGGAGUUGUGAACCAGGAUAUGGAGCCCUAGAUACAGAUUUUUGUGAUUUUGUAUCCUACCAUGUGUUGAUCAUUUCUAGAAGUUUUAUAGUUGUUUUUUAGAAUAUGUGAUGUGCAAAUAGGGACAGUUUAAUGGAUCCUUGUCUACUUUUUGAAUAAUUUAAUAAGAAUUGACUGUAAUUCUUUGCAGAUCUGUUAAAAUUUUUCUGUGAAUACAUUUGGACCUGCACUUUUUUUUUCCAAGACAGGGUUUCUCUGUAUAGCCCUGGCUGUCCUGGAACUCACUCUGUAGACCAUUCUGGCCUCAAACUCAAAAAUCCACCUGCCUCUGGACCUGCACUUUUGUAGUUAGAAUUAUUUUUAUUACUGUUUCCUAUGUUGCAGUUCUGUUUAGGUUGUUGAUCUCUUCUUGGUUUAACUUUGGUGGUUUGGAUGAAUCUAGAAAUUUGUUCAUUUCUUUUAGUUUUUUUAAGUUAAUGAGCUAUAAGUUUUUAAAAUAUUCCAUUAUAAUAUUCUUAAUUUCCUUAUGUCUGUUACAAAUGGUUCCCUGUUCAUUUUUUAUUCUGUUAGUUUAGAUCACCUGUUUCUUUGGUUUAGUUGUGUCAAAAGUGUCAAUUUUGUUCAUCUUUCUAUAGAGUUCUUAGAUUUGUUUAUUCAUUAUAUUGUUUUCUGUGUUUCUAUCUUACUAGGUUCUGCUGUGAUUUUUAUUUUUAUUUAUUUCUUGCCACAUACUGGAUUUGAAUUUGCUUUGUUCUUGUUUUCCAAAAUCUUGAGUGGCAUCUUUAAGUAAAAUAUUUGUGCUGUUUCUGACUUGUCUGUUUUUUGAGACAAGGUCUUUCUGUGUAGCUUUGGCAAAUCUAGAACCUGCAAUGGAGACAGGGCUGGCUUGGAAUUUAGAAAGGUCUGCACUGAUUAAAGACAUGAGUCACCAUACCUGGGUCUUUCUGAUUUUUAAGUGUAGGCACUUAGAGCCAUAAAUCUCUCCAGAGAUUUUGUUGUGCUUUGUUUUCAUUUUUAUUAAGUACUAAGAUUUUUUUCUUUUAUUUCCUUCUCAAUUUCUUCUUUAACCCAUUCAUCAUUCAACAAUGAGGGGUUUUUAUCUCUUAUUGCCAUGCAUUUGUGUACUUAUUAGACAUUUGUUUGCUUUUGAUUUUGUGUUUUAUUAAUCUUUUUUUUUUUUUUUUUUUGGUUUUUCAAGACAGGGUUUCUCUGUAUAGCCCUGGCUGUCCUGGAACUCACUUUGUAGACCAGGCUGGCCUCGAACUCAGAAAUCCGCCUGCCUCUGCCUCCCAAGUGCUGGGAUUAAAGGCGUGCGCCACCACUGCCCGUGUGUUUUAUUAAUCUUACAGUAAGAUAGGAUACAUGGAGUCUUUCUGAAUUUGUAAAGAUUUGUUUUGCAUUCCAAGAUGUAGUCUAUUUUAGAGAAGUAGUCUAAUCAUGGUUUCCCCUCCACCAACUCCUAGAUCCUCUCCACCUCCCCACCCACCCAAUUUCAUUCCCUUUCUCUCUAGAAAGCAAGCAAGCAAAAAAAUAUCCCCACAU